ACGGCCUCGCGUAGUAGUAGAGCGCCCCUGGGGGGAUGGCCGUGCACGGUGGUAGAGCACCACUUGAGGAUAGUGGUAGAGCAUCCCUUAAGGGUCGGUGGCCUUACAACGAAGUGCAACGAUCCAUCUUGCUUGUCGUCGAGGGUGGCUUCCUCUAACAACCUAUAUCAUUAGCCCCCUUACCCCUUGUCGAUGUUAUCGGCAAGGGGUAGCAAUUUUCUUUAUUCGGUUUGAUUUGAAUUUUUUUUUAAAUGAUAAAUGAGUAGUUCGUAUUAGCAAGUCGAGCAAUGCAAUCGAAAUCAAGUAGCAAUUUUACUGUAUACAUGGCACCCCAUCAAUGGUCCUAACGUUGGAGGGAAUUUUCCCCCCAAAAAAGUUUGAAUUCUUGUGUCUAUAAAAGGGAGAUGAUUUCUACUUCAAAGAAUCACUCUCAUUUUCUCACAACAUCCUAGGCUUUCUCCUUCCUAAGGUAAUUUUCUCUCUUUUUCAAUCCAAAGUCUUGCUUUGAAUUUGUUAUCUUCAUCUUUUUUUGUUGCCAUGUAUAAGACAUUUCUUUCUUCUCCUUCCAAUGAGAAUAGUGAUGGGGGUGUGGUGACUCGACCGGACUUUCGUCGGAGGGUAUCGGAGGGGGUCCGACCAGCCUACGGGGGGCCGACCGGUGACCAGCAGGGCUGGCCCCAUGGUUGGUCGACACGAUUGACCAGCUGUCGACUAUUGUCGACCAACCAUAGGACUGGUCGAGCGACGGCCAACCUUUGGGCUGGCCGUCCCUUGACUUUUCCUGAGCUUCGUAGCCCAUUCGGCCCUUCGACCUGACUCGUUAGUAACUCGCCCCCUUCGCCCGGUAGAUCUCUUUAUGACAUUGAUAGUGAAACUCAUUCAAUGGAUUCUCAGGCGUUUGUCCCAAAUUCCCUAAAGUGGCAUAUUAGUUCUACCAAAUUUUCGAACCAAAAUUUAGAAAUUGGGCAAGACCCGGCUGGUGAGGUUGUCUCCCUAGAUAUCCCAAAAAGUUAUAAUCUCUACAAUUUCCCACUUAAGUUGGAAAAAUGUCUAGGUAAGUAUGACCGAGUUGAUGAUUACAUCUAUAGAGCCCCAGGUCCUAAAGAAAGACUCCCUAGGUUUGACCCCGCGAGGUAGCCGUGUACAAGGCUGUUAUGGACGGGGGUUUUCAGUUCUCCAUUCAUCCCUUUUUUGUGUUAAUUUUCAAUGAGUUUCACCUUACUCCUAGUCAAAUUAAUCCCAACGCUUGGAGAAAGGCGUUAUAUUUCCUAUAUGUUUGUCUCAAAAGGAAAAUAUCACUUUCCAUAGACAUUUUCAGGUGUGUCUUUGAAAUGCAUGAGCUAGUUCAGUGUAAUGCAUUCGUCUAUUUUACAACCAGAGUUCCUUUGCAAUUUCCUAAAUUUAGAAAUUUGAAUAGCGGAUGGAAAUCCCGAUUCUUCUUCGUCCAGCCUUCAGCGGGUCGAUUAUCUUUCAACACCAAUUGGCGACACCCCAAAAUUUGCCUCUUCAAUAGUCAAGUAGAAGUUAUCCCCUUUCUAAAAGCUCAAAUCCAAGAGUUGGUUGAUGUAUCGCCUCUCGCACAUGACUUAGGAUCAGUCUUGACCAUGAAGAACAUGUUGAUAGUGGGGAUGAGUCGUCUUACUGGUAGGUUGUUUCCGUCGAUUUUUUUUAUCGCAUAAACACACAUUCACUUAUUAUUUUUUGCUUUUAGUUUUUUGGGACUAAUGAGUUUGGGUGUGUGCAUACAGAUAUGGACUUUGAUAUUGAUGAGGUAUUGAAGAC
rnacentral:lncRNA from 1 species